rnacentral:rRNA from 1 species
AGAGUUUGAUCAUGGCUCAGGACGAACGCUGGCGGCGCGCCUAAUCCAUGCAAGUCGAGCGACGCAUUCCUUAGCCCGUAAGGGCGGGUUUGACGGAGCGGCGAACGGGUGCGUAACACGUGACCAAUCUGCCCCGAAGACCGGGAUAGCCCGGGGAAACCCGGAUUAAUACCGGAUGAUCUCACCACCACGCAUGUGGAGGUGAGCAAAGGCUCAGGCGCUUCGGGAUGAGGUCGCGGCCCAUCAGCUUGUUGGUGAGGUAACGGCUCACCAAGGCAAUUACGGGUAGCUGGUCUGAGAGGACGAUCAGCCACACUGGAACUGAGAUACGGUCCAGACUCCUACGGGAGGCAGCAGGAGGGAAUCUUGCGCAAUGGGCGAAAGCCUGACGCAGCGACGCCGCGUGGGGGAUGAAUGCCUUAGGGUUGUAAACCCCUUUCACGAGGGAAGAAACUGACGGUACCUCGAGAAGAAGCCCCGGCCAACUACGUGCCAGCAGCCGCGGUAAUACGUAGGGGGCGAGCGUUGUCCGGAUUUAUUGGGCGUAGAGGGCUCGUAGGCGGCUUGGCAAGUCGGCCGUGAAAACCCAGGGCUCAACUCUGGGACGCCGGUCGAUACUGCCAUGGCUAGGGUCCGGUAGAGGGGAAUGGAAUUCCCGGUGUAGCGGUGAAAUG